rnacentral:tRNA from 1 species
GUCCCCGUAGCUCAGCUGGAUAGAGCGCCGGUUUCCGGAGCCGGAGGUCAGAGGUUCGAAUCCUCUCGGGGAUAC